GCAAGGGCUGGCAAUGAAAGGUUUUCCCGCUAGUUCCAGUGGUCUGUGAAGCUCUGCAACAUUAGAGUCAUUUGUCUUCAAUAUAGUUUUGAUUGCUCCCUGCUGGCACUCCAGCUUUCAAGUCCACUACUAGAUGUGAGGCUGAAGAUUCUGAAUUACUGCCACACUCUGGAUUUCUUCCUGCUUGGUGUUCAAAAGGAUUUUACUACACCUGAAUUUCAUUAACUUUACCCAACUACCUAGAAAACACAUCUCAGACUUGCCAAG